GACGAGCGCUGGCGGCGUGCCUAAUACAUGCAAGUUGAGCGCUGAAGGUUGGUACUUGUACCAACUGGAUGAGCAGCGAACGGGUGAGUAACGCGUGGGGAAUCUGCCUUUGAGCGGGGGACAACAUUUGGAAACGAAUGCUAAUACCGCAUAAAAACUUUAAACACAAGUUUUAAGUUUGAAAGAUGCAAUUGCAUCACUCAAAGAUGAUCCCGCGUUGUAUUAGCUAGUUGGUGAGGUAAAGGCUCACCAAGGCGAUGAUACAUAGCCGACCUGAGAGGGUGAUCGGCCACAUUGGGACUGAGACACGGCCCAAACUCCGACGGGAGGCAGCAGUAGGGAAUCUUCGGCAAUGGACGAAAGUCUGACCGAGCAACGCCGCGUGAGUGAAGAAGGUUUUCGGAUCGUAAAACUCUGUUGGUAGAGAAGAACGUUGGUGAGAGUGGAAAGCUCAUCAAGUGACGGUAACUACCCAGAAAGGGACGGCUAACUGCGUG
rnacentral:rRNA from 1 species